rnacentral:pre_miRNA from 1 species
AGAGCUUAGCUGAUUGGUGAACAGUGAUUGAUUACUUCUUUGUUCACAGUGGCUAAGUUCUGC